ensembl:lncRNA LINC01606 long intergenic non-protein coding RNA 1606
AACGGCUCUUCUUCGAGUCUUCUCAGAGGUUGGAGAUUCCCUGUCUUCUCCAACCUCUGCCAAGUCUUCAGAGAGGUUGGAGUGCGCCUGUCGGAGGUACUAGACCCCAGAUGAGGAUCUCAGGAAGAUCCACAAAGCUGCGUCCAGGGGAACGAACGUGUGGAAGCUGCAGCGGAGCCUCCUGCUCAAGAGUAAAGGACCGGUCUGAAACCUACAAGAACAGAUUCUCACACUAGACGAGGAGCCUGUUUUUCAGCUAGCUGCUGCAAGGGAGCUGGAAAUUUCUCCCUUCAGAUAGGACCUAGAAGGUCUGAAAGCAUCUGGAGAAGGGUGCGGCUGGGAGUAGAGAAACAGGCUACAGACUGAAGCAGGAGGAAGCGAGAGAGGAAGACUCAUGGAAAGCCUUGUUGCGCUCGCCAAAAGAGCUGCCCUCGCACUCGAGAGGGCCAUGUUUAAUGCCUACCUGAAGAAAG